GAUGAACGCUGGCGGCGUGCCUAAUACAUGCAAGUCGAACGCGAGAGGAGGGAGCUUGCUCCCUCUGAUCGAGUGGCGGACGGGUGAGUAACACGUAGGCAACCUGCCCAUCAGCCGGGGAUAACUGCGGGAAACCGUGGCUAAUACCGGAUAAUCCUCCUCGCCGCGGGGUGGGGUGUUGAAAGACGGUGUCGGCUGUCGCCGAUGGAUGGGCCUGCGGCGCAUUAGCUGGUUGGCGGGGUAACGGCCCACCAAGGCAACGAUGCGUAGCCGACCUGAGAGGGUGAUCGGCCACACUGGGACUGAGACACGGCCCAGAAUCCUACGGGAGGCAGCAGUAGGGAAUCUUCCGCAAUGGACGCAAGUCUGACGGAGCAACGCCGCGUGAGUGAAGAAGGGUUUCGGCUCGUAAAACUCUGUUGUUAAGGAAGAACGCCAGGUAGAGUAACUGCUACCUGUGUGACGGUACUUAACCAGAAAGCCACGGCUAACUACGUGCCAGCCGCCGCGGUAA
rnacentral:rRNA from 1 species